rnacentral:rRNA from 1 species
UGAGUAUCCUAAGGCGCUCGAGAGAACUGCGGUUAAGGAACUAGGCAAUCUAACCCCGUAACUUAGGGAGAAGGGGUCCCUCCUCCUUCAUUGGAGAGGGCGCAGGAAGCAGACUGGGCGACUGUUUAUCAAAAACACAGCUCUGUGCUAACUCGUAAGAGGAUGUAUACAGAGUGACGCCUGCUCGGUGCCGGAAUGUUAAGGAAGUUGGUCAGGGGUUCGCCCCGAAGCUAGCGACCGAAGCACCGGUAAACGGCGGCCGUAACUAUGACGGUCCUAAGGUAGCGAAGUUCCUUGUCGGGUAAGUUCCGACGUGCAUGAACGGCGUAACGACUUGGUCGCUGUCUCAACCGCAGACUCGGUGAAAUUGAAGUGGCGGUGAAGAUACCGUCUACCCGCAGCAAGACGGAAAGACCCCGUGGACCUUUACUAUAGUCUGGUACUGAUGCCGGUUAUGGACUGCGUAGGAUAGGUGGGAGGCGUUGAUCUCUCGGUUCCGGCCGAGAGGGAGCCAAUGGUGAAAUACCACCCUGUUUGUAUUCGUCAUCUCACCCUGAUCCCAUGAGACUGGGCAGGGAACCGUGCUAGAUGGGUAGUUUGACUGGGGCGGUCUCCUCCAAAAGAGUAACGGAGGAGUGCAAAGGCAAGCUCAGGACGGUUGACAAUCGUCCGUCGAGCGUAAAGGUAGAAGCUUGCUUGACUGCGAGUGCAACAGCACGAGCAGAGCUGAAAGGCGGCCUUAGUGAUCCUGUGGUUGCGUGUGGAAGCGCCAUAGCUCAACGGAUAAAAGGUACCCCGGGGAUAACAGGCUGAUCGCCCCCGAGCGUCCAUAGCGGCGGGGCGGUUUGGCACCUCGAUGUCGGCCCAUCGCAUCCUGGGGCUGAAGGCGGUCCCAAGGGUUUGGCUGUUCGCCAAUUAAAGCGGUACGCGAGCUGGGUUCAGACCGGCGUGAGCCAGGUCGGUCCCUAUCUGCUGUGGGCGUAGGAACCUUGACGGCGAUUCAACUAUAGUACGAGAGGAUUUAGUUGGACUGACCCCUGGUGUACCAGUUGUCCUGCUAAGGGCACGGCUGGGUAGCUAUGUCAGGAACGAAUAAACGCUGAAAGCAUCUAAGCGUGAAGUCAACGCCAAGACGAGGGUUCCAUGGGAGCUUGCUCCCGAGAGACCCCGAGUAGACCACUCGGUUGAUAGGCCGGAGCUGUAAGGCCCGAAAGGGUUUCAGGUUACCGGUACUAACGGUCGAUAGCUUGACCG